CGGACUUUUGCUCGGCAUGGUACCGCCGUUAUCGGGCCAAAUUCAUAGUUGCCAACGACAACUAUGCUCCGGUUGCUCUGGCUGCGUAAGCAGUCCGAAAGACCGAACUAAAGUCCUGACGUCUUAGCAGCGUCAGGCGGGGUUCGGAGGCACCUGGCAACAGAAGCCUCCACU
rnacentral:tmRNA from 1 species